AAGUUCCGACCUGCACGAAUGGCGUAACGAUAGCCACGCUGUCUCCACCCAAGACUCAGUGAAAUUGAAAUCGCUGUGAAGAUGCAGCGUACCCGCGGCUAGACGGAAAGACCCCGUGAACCUUUACUACAGCUUUACACUGAACUUUGAAUAUGCCUGUGUAGGAUAGGUGGGAGGCUUUGAAGCUGGAGCGCUAGCUCCAGUGGAGCCAACCUUGAAAUACCACCCUGGCGUGUUUGAGGUUCUAACCCUGUCCCGUAAUCCGGGUCGGGAACAGUGUAUGGUGGGUAGUUUGACUGGGGCGGUCUCCUCCAAAAGAGUAACGGAGGAGUACAAAGGUACCCUCAGCACGGUCGGAAAUCGUGCAUUGUGUGCAAAGGCAUAAGGGUGCUUGACUGCGAGACUGACAAGUCGAGCAGGUACGAAAGUAGGUCUUAGUGAUCCGGUGGUCCUUUAUGGAAGGGCCAUCGCUCAACGGAUAAAAGGUACUCCGGGGAUAACAGGCUGAUACCACCCAAGAGUUCAUAUCGACGGUGGUGUUUGGCACCUCGAUGUCGGCUCAUCACAUCCUGGGGCUGUAGCCGGUCCCAAGGGUAUGGCUGUUCGCCAUUUAAAGUGGUACGUGAGCUGGGUUUAGAACGUCGUGAGACAGUUCGGUCCCUAUCUGCCGUGGGCGUUGGAGAUUUGAGAGGAGCUGCUCCUAGUACGAGAGGACCGGAGUGGACGUACCUCUGGUGUUCCGGUUGUCACGCCAGUGGCAUUGCCGGGUAGCUAAGUACGGACGGGAUAACCGCUGAAAGCAUCUAAGCGGGAAGCCCCCCUCAAGAUGAGAUCUCCCGGACCUUUAAGGUCCCUAAAGAUUCGUUGAAGACGACAACGUUGAUAGGCAGGGUGUGGAAGCUCAGUAAUGAGUGAAGCUAACCUGUACUAAUUAAUCGUGCGACUUGACUAU
rnacentral:rRNA from 1 species